UACAGAGGUCUCAAGCGUUGUUCGGAUUCAUUGGGCGUAAAGGGUGCGUAGGUGGCGCCGUAAGUCAGGUGUGAAAUUUCGGAGCUUAACUCCGAAAACUGCAUUUGAUACUGCGGUGCUUGAGGACUGGAGAGGAGACUGGAAUUCACGGUGUAGCAGUGAAAUGCGUAGAUAUCGUGAGGAAGACCAGUGGCGAAGGCGGGUCUCUGGACAGUUCCUGACACUGAGGCACGAAGGCUAGGGGAGCAAACGGG
rnacentral:rRNA from 1 species